UACGGAGGGAGCUAGCGUUGUUCGGAAUUACUGGGCGUAAAGCGUACGUAGGCGGUUAUUCAAGUCAGAGGUGAAAGCCCGGGGCUCAACCCCGGAACUGCCUUUGAAACUAGAUAACUAGAAUCUUGGAGAGGUCAGUGGAAUUCCGAGUGUAGAGGUGAAAUUCGUAGAUAUUCGGAAGAACACCAGUGGCGAAGGCGACUGACUGGACAAGUAUUGACGCUGAGGUACGAAAGCGUGGGGAGCAAACAGG
rnacentral:rRNA from 1 species